UACAGAGGGUGCGAGCGUUGUUCGGAAUUAUUGGGCGUAAAGGGCGCGUAGGCGGCGCCACAAGUCACUUGUGAAAACUCUGGGCUCAACCCAGAGCCUGCAGGCGAAACUGUGGUGCUGGAGUAUGGGAGAGGUGCGUGGAAUUCCCGGUGUAGCGGUGAAAUGCGUAGAUAUCGGGAGGAACAUCAGUGGCGAAGGCGGCCAUCUGGGACAACACUGACGCUGAAGCACGAAAGCGUGGGGAGCAAACAGG
rnacentral:rRNA from 1 species